rnacentral:rRNA from 1 species
UACGUAGGGUGCGAGCGUUAAUCGGAAUUACUGGGCGUAAAGCGUGCGCAGGCGGUUUGCUAAGACAGGUGUGAAAUCCCCGGGCUUAACCUGGGAACUGCGCUUGUGACUGGCAGGCUAGAGUACGGCAGAGGGGGGUGGAAUUCCUGGUGUAGCAGUGAAAUGCGUAGAGAUCAGGAGGAACACCGAUGGCGAAGGCAGCCCCCUGGGCCUGUACUGACGCUCAUGCACGAAAGCGUGGGGAGCAAACAGG